UGAGUGGAGCGAGGAGGCGCAGCUUUAAAGCUGAGGAAAGUCCGGACUCCGUGGGCAGGGUGCCGGAUAACAUCCGGAGGGAGUGAUCCCUGGACAGGGCCAUAGAGAAGAAAACCACCACUAUGGUAAGGGUGGAACGGUGAGGUAAGAGCUCACCAGGUAUGGAGUAAUCCAUACGCUUGGCAACCCCCACCUGGAGCAAGGUCAAGCAGGGUUUGGGUGGCCCGCCCUAUAACCCGGGUAGACCGCUUGAGGAAUUUGGUAACAAAUUCCCAAGAUAGAUGCCUCCAAAAACAGAAUCCGGCUUACCGCUCCACUCAUUUU
rfam:Thermosipho africanus TCF52B, complete genome.